UUGGACCUGAUAUCAGGCAAGAUUACCCGCUGAACUUAAGCAUAUCAAAGCCGGAAGGAAA
rnacentral:rRNA from 1 species